rnacentral:rRNA from 1 species
GCGGAGGAAAAGAAACCAACAGGGAUUGCCCUAGUAACGGCGAGUGAAGCGGCAACAGCUCAAAUUUGAAAUCUGGCUCUUUUAGAGUCCGAGUUGUAAUUUGCAGAGGGCGCUUUGGCUUUGGCAGCGGUCCAAGUUCCUUGGAACAGGACGUCACAGAGGGUGAGAAUCCCGUACGUGGUCGCUGGCUAUUGCCGUGUAAAGCCCCUUCGACGAGUCGAGUUGUUUGGGAAUGCAGCUCUAAAUGGGAGGUACAUUUCUUCUAAAGCUAAAUAUUGGCCAGAGACCGAUAGCGCACAAGUAGAGUGAUCGAAAGAUGAAAAGCACUUUGGAAAGAGAGUCAAACAGCACGUGAAAUUGUUGAAAGGGAAGCGCUUGCAGCCAGACUUGCUUACAGUUGCUCAUCCGGGUUUUUACCCGGUGCACUCUUCUGUAGGCAGGCCAGCAUCAGUUUGGGCGGUAGGAUAAAGGUCUCUGUCACGUACCUCCUUUCGGGGAGGCCUUAUAGGGGAGACGACAUACUACCAGCCUGGACUGAGGUCCGCGCAUCUGCUAGGAUGCUGGCGUAAUGGCUGUAAGCGGCCCGUCUUGA